CAGUAGCCGCGGUAAUACGAAGGGCGCAAGCGUUAAUCGGAAUUACUGGGCGUAAAGCGUGCGUAGGCGGUGAGUUAAGUCUGCUGUGAAAUUCCUGGGCUUAACCUGGUGGCUGCAUUUGAGACGUCAAGACUAGAGUGUGAGAGAGGGUUGUGGAAUUCCCAGUGUAGAGGUGAAAUUCGUAGAUAUUCGGAAGAACACCAGCGGCGAAGGCGACACACUGGCUCAUUACUGACGCUGAGGCGCGAAAGCGUGGGGAGCAAACAGGAUUAGAUACCCCCGUAGUCCCUGUCUCUUAUAC
rnacentral:rRNA from 1 species